rnacentral:misc_RNA from 1 species
CGGAGAUGGUGGUAGAGCUAUGCCCCGCGCCAAAGCUAUCAAACUCACUCUCGGAGCGUUUCGUGAAUCCCGACAACCCGUUUGUCUGUCUAAUAGUAGACAUCUUAUCCCUCCUUCCAGUUAGAAUUUUGUGUGGAUAAGACUGAUGCCCAACAUCCCACAGAAUUCUGUCCUGUGGGGCAUUGAAGACAUAGUGAAGAGCCACCGUGAG